GAUGAACGCUGGCGGCGUGCCUAAUACAUGCAAGUCGAGCGAACAGACGAGGAGCUUGCUCCUCUGACGUUAGCGGCGGACGGGUGAGUAACACGUGGAUAACCUACCUAUAAGACUGGGAUAACUUCGGGAAACCGGAGCUAAUACCGGAUAAUAUAUUGAACCGCAUGGUUCAAUAGUGAAAGACGGUUUUGCUGUCACUUAUAGAUGGAUCCGCGCCGCAUUAGCUAGUUGGUAAGGUAACGGCUUACCAAGGCAACGAUGCGUAGCCGACCUGAGAGGGUGAUCGGCCACACUGGAACUGAGACACGGUCCAGACUCCUACGGGAGGCAGCAGUAGGGAAUCUUCCGCAAUGGGCGAAAGCCUGACGGAGCAACGCCGCGUGAAUGAUGAAGGUCUUCGGAUCGUAAAACUCUGUUAUUAGGGAAGAACAAAUGUGUAAGUAAAUAUGCACGUCUUGACGGUACCUAAUCAGAAAGCCACGGCUAACUACGUG
rnacentral:rRNA from 1 species